GAAAUGUCCAAAUUUAUAACCGGAAGAUGAGUCAUAAUAAAAAAAAUCAACAACAAACAACAUGUUACAUGGUAGUGUUAAAUUUCUAAAUUUAAAUCUAACUUUCUGAUAUUUUUUUGAAUAUGCACGAAGUGCAAAUAAGUCAUAAAUAAAUAGCACUAGUGUAUAUUUAAAAAAGGAUUCAGAUAUAUAACAGCAUGGCAGUAAUAAAAGAGGUAAAUAUAAC
rnacentral:lncRNA from 1 species